UACAGAGGGUGCGAGCGUUGUCCGGAAUCAUUGGGCGUAAAGGGCGCGUAGGCGGCGCGGUAAGCGUGCGGUGAAAGCCCGGGGCUCAACCCCGGGUCGGCCGUGCGGACUGCCGGGCUGGAGCACUGUAGAGGCAGGUGGAAUUCCGGGUGUAGCGGUGGAAUGCGUAGAGAUCCGGAAGAACACCGGUGGCGAAGGCGGCCUGCUGGGCAGUGGCUGACGCUGAGGCGCGACAGCGUGGGGAGCAAACAGGAUUAGAAACC
rnacentral:rRNA from 1 species